GGCGCCCGGACCGCGGGGGGAGCAGGGGCGCGGGGGACCUGCCGCCGCUGCCGGCUCUUUGUCUGCUCGGGCAACUUGAACAAAAGGAGAAACUCGGAUGAACUCUCCAUCUCUUCCUCGCCUCUCCCGAGUUAACUCAUCUUCGGCAACUUUAUCGGAAGAGAUUCGCUCAACUUUCUUCGAGCUCUCCCGCCGUUUAAAAGCAAAGAGACCCGCCGUAGGCUUCUAAGGAAAUCUGGUUUCACAGUUUAGAGAAAGGAGAAGGUCACGACAUGAUUGUUGGGAAAAUGGGAUGGUUGCCAGAACAUCAGUCUGUGAUGGGUGCCAUAUUGCACUACUCUUUGGAUGGUGGAAUACAGCUUGGGAUUCCUCAGGGCUGCAUAUCCUGGUUCAAGCUGGACUAUACAGCUGCUUAAUGUCUCAGCUGUUUGGAUUCAUUGUAAUGGUUAAUGGUCUCCUGGGGGAAGUGGAAGAGCCCCAUGCUGGAACUUGUGGAUAUACUGGAACCUGCUGCUGAGACCCAUUUGGAUUAUAUCACCCUCUGACACCGAGGUUCUGCAGCUGAUGAAAGGAGUUUACCAGAUCUUUUAUGUGGUUGCUGAAGCAUUGUCGUGGGACAGUAGUAAUGAUGGAUGGAUCACACUUCAGGCUUGGGUCACAGAGAAACAUGAGAAUUUACACUUCUGAAAUAGGUGUAAAUGGGACUGAAGGAAUUACAUGGAGGAUUCUGAACUCCCCUUCUUCCUGCUUCAGCAAAGAUGAAGAUGUUUCCUGGUGGGCUGUGUUUGAAACCAAGUAUUAAGGAGUCUCCCCUGCAGCUGAUAAGAGAGAGAGAGGGGCCGGCUCUGAGACCACCUCUGGUUAUGGUCCACAUGUGCUACUGAAGCUGGCUAGAAUGGUGUGACAAAUGACACUGGAAAUGGUGGAAGACCCAGAAAACUACACUGCUCUUCCAUGGUGUAAACUACUGCUGAAAAUCAUAAAGAAGAAGAAAAAAAGCUUGAUUUGUAGUUCUGAAUAAAGUGACAUUAAGAGAACAUAUGCUUCCUUGUCACAUGAUACUUAAGAGAUUCUGACAAUGUAUCCAAAGCAACUCCAUCUUCAAGGGGGAAAAAAGAAAAUCAUGCCAAAUCUGAUAGUCUUCUGAUGUGUUCCAUUAGUUGUGGAUUUCUACAAGGAUUCUUCAAACACAAAAUUAAUUAUUAUAAACAGCAAUGACCUUACUCAAGAUGCCACGAAAAAGGAGAUUCAGAUGGAUCACUCUUUACCAGCUCUCAAGGCCAAUACUGCUGUGCAGUCCCUGCUCUCAGCAGCAUCCUCAGUGUCCUUGUGGUGGGGUGUCUUGGAAGGACUGUGCAGAUCAAGGUUCACACUCCCUCUGCACUUCACUGUGCACUUCCCUGUGCUAUAAUAACAGGCAUAGAUGCCUAGACCCAUGAAAGGAGGCGGCUUCAGUUCUGCUGUGCAGAGUUGUUAGAAGCAGUACAGCGGUUCUGACUUCUACAAGGAGGCAAUGAACACAGACCUAUACUUCACACUGGUUUAUCACAGGAAUUUUUCCAGUCCCUUUUCAAACAGCUUCUGCCUGAGCAUCUCUGAACAGCCAAUUGGAGCAACUGGAAAGCGAGGCAGACACAUCACAGAAAAAAAUCUGGCAGUAAGAUUAUUCUUCAUGCUAAAAUAAUACCCAGAAGUUUGUAUUCUGUCAGCUGAGAUUAUAGUUCAGUUUCUUGGAGGAAGUGAGAUGCUAUUUUGUUGAAGAUAUAUGGCUCUCUGUUCCCUGUUGUUAUAUAAGCAAAUUGUGGUACUUAUCAUCCUAUUUCUGUCUGCUUCCUCUCUGUAGGUGAUUGUGCCUCUGAUAUUACCUGGGUAUCUCAGCCUUGCUUGUGACCUGAGAGUAGAUUUUAGCUCUUCAGGUAAUUCUCUUUUCCUGCAGAUGACGGAUUUAUAGGACUAUUGCACAUUGUCAAUAAAAAGAAACAAGUGACCGAUCAGUGGGGUUUUUACUCCUCCUCCCCCUUUCCUCUGAGAGAACCAAGAGCCAACCAUUUCUGGACAGCUCCCCCUCCCCUUGUGAAGUGCAGGGAAUUCAAGCAGCUCAUCUAAUCCCGUGGUGCUGAGGCUUUGUUGCAGCAGGGAGGAAGGUAUUAUAGGCAACAUAUCCUCCACAGAAGAGUUUUUCUGGGAAGGGGACCCAGGGCUACCCAAAGGCCAACUCAGGAUCAUUGAAUUGUGGGUCGCUGAAGUACUGGGGUGAUUAAGAGGCCCAGUCCAGCAAUGACUCUUCAGCAUCUUUGGUUUUCUCAGCCUUAGUACUGUAGCAAAUAGAUGCUUUAGGAAGAGAAUAGGAUGGUAUCUCUAACACAUCUUGUUGAAGUGCAGGACCUUAUGGGUCCAGAUGUACAACAGGAUGACCACUGCUUCAGCUCAUCAGUCACCUUCUGCACCCAAUAUCUGUUCAUUCUACUGUCACCUCCCACACCCAAUCUGUUUUACAGUCCAUUAAUUUCAAAGUAUAGGACCAGAGUAACUUCAACAAGGGACAGGGAAGGGGUUUAAAAGGACCUGAAAAGUUUGCAAAUUUACAGACGAAUGACUGCAAAUUGUCAUCAUAUUUCAAAAGUCAUGGCAGUCCAGUGAAGUUGUCGCUGGCUGGAAAAGGGGAAACAUAAAAGGGAAAAAAGGAAGACCUGAGGAACUGCAGGACAGUCAGUCUCACCCCGGUGCCUGGCAAGAUCAUGGGAGAGAUCCUCCUGGAAACUGUGCUAAGUCAUGAGGAAAAUAAAGAGGUCAUUGGCGGCAGCCAACAUGACUUGACUGAGGGCAAAUCAUGCCAGACAAAUUUGGUCAUCUUUUGUGACGUUUACCAUGGUUACCAUAUUAGUGGAUAAGGGAAGAGCAACUGUUGUAAUCUACCUGGACUUGUGCAAAGCAUUCCACAAUACCACAUAACAGCCUCUAAAUUGGAGAGGCACAGAUUUGAUGGAUGGAUCACUUGGUGAAUCAGUGGCUGGACAGUUUCACUCAAAGUGCUGCAAUCAAUGUCUUGAUGUCCAAGUGGAGGAUAAUGACAGGUGGUUCUCCUCAGGAGUCAGUACUGGGCCAGCACUUUUUAACAUCUUUGUCAGUGACAUGGACAGUGGGACUGGUGCACCAUCAGCAGCUUUGCCAACAACACCAGAAUGUCCAGUGCAGUCAACAUGCUGGAGGGAAGGGAUGCCAUCCAGAGGGGCCUUGACCAGCUUAAGAGGUGGGCCUUUGCUGACCUCAAAGCUCAACAAGGCCAAGUGUAAGGUCCUCCACCAGACUGGGGCAAUCCCAGACACAAUUACAGGCUAAGUGGUUGAGGCAUGGAUUGAGAGCAGUCCUGAAGAAAAGGACUUGAGAGUGUUGACUGACAGGAAUCUGGCAACAUGUGCAGCCCAAAAAGCCAACUGUAUUCUGGUUGCAUCUACAGAAGUGUGGACACCACAUUAAAGGACAGGAUUCUGCCCCUCUACUCUGCUCUGAUGAGACUCCACGUGGAGUGCUGCAUCCAGCUCUGGGGUCCCCAGCAUAAGUAUGAUACAGACCUGUUCGAGCAAGUGCAGAGGAGGAACACAAAUAUGACCAGAGGGCUAGAGCACCUAUGAAGACAGGCUGAGAAAGCUGGGGUUGUUCAGCCUGGAGAAGGCUCUGGGGAGACCUUAGAGCAGCCUUCCAGUACCUAAGGGGAGUCUACAAGAGAGCUCAAGAAGGACUUUGUACAAAGGCCUGUAGUGGGUAGACAGGAGUGAAUGGCUUCAAAAUGAAGGAGGGUGGCUUUAGAUUAGAUAUUAAGGAAGAAAUUUUUUAUGAGAAUGAUGAAGCAGUGAAACAAGUUGGCCAGAGAGCUGCUAGAUGCUUCUUCUCUGUCAACAUUCAAGUCGAAUGGGUGUUCGAGAGACCUGGUCUAGUAGAAGAUGUCCUUUCCCAUGGCAGAGGUGUUGGAAGGGGAUGAUCUUUAGGGAUCCUUACAGCCACAGCUGUUUUAUGAUUCUGUGAUUUGGAAUGCUGAUGUGCACCAAAGAUCCAAGAGUGCUGUCGUUCACUGAACUGUACAGGAUAAUGUUGUUAGUAGUCGCAUGUCAUACUGGGGCACAAAUCGCAUCUUGGCCUUACCUUUGUGUAAAAGCACUGAAUUUAUACUGUAGUAGUGCUUCUUAUUUAAAGUGAAAAAUGACUGCAUAAAGCUGUAUUUGAACCCAGAGGGAGCAUUUUAUUAAUUAGUAAAUAAUGAUAUGAUGAAAUUGAAUCAUACUGCCUUUUCUUUUCCAAUUUUUCUUUGAGGAGUGCCUGCUAUGAAAGUAUAUGUACAAAUAAAUUGUUUCCUUAUGUCUCCAAAAACAUGUUGUAAAUCUUUAAUUUAGUUUUAAUGACAAUGACAGUUUAGAAAGGAAACACUAUUCAAAGACAAGAAAUAUAGCAGUAAGAUUUUAAUUUUAUGAGUUUUAAAUAAAAUAUUAGAAACAUAUUCUGAAAUCACAAUAUUAACAUCCAUAUAUAGAUAUAUAUUUUUGUCUUGUUAACAUCAAACUGUGUUUGCAAAUUUUCUUGAAAAUUUCCAAUACAUGUGCAAAAUCUAGGUGCCUGUUCUUUUGACUUCAUGUUAGGAUAAAAAGCGUGCAGUUGGUGAGUGGGAUUUAGCAGUGCUACCAGCAUAGCUGUGUGCUUUGGGGCCGAUGAUAAUUACUGGGGAGAUUGAAGUGUAUUGAAAACCAGAAAAUCUCGACAAGCCUUUUAAAUGAAUUGUUGAAGUCCUCUAAGAGGAUUUCAGAAUGAAGGUAUCUGAAUGAAUUCACAUGUGUGGGGAAAACUGAGCACAUAUCUCCGUUCUUGGGCCCUGGAAUAAUUUCAUGUAAUACGAGCAUAAACUAAGCCUGUGUUACUAUAAGUUGGCUUGGAUAGUGCUUUCCAAAUCCAUUCAGAGACGUUAUUAUUGUGAGGACAUUUCUGAUGGAGAACACGGACCUUCUUCAAUUGCACAGAGUGAUUUUUAAGGAUGCUUCAGCAUUGGGGACUCAAUAAUUGAGCCUGGAAGAGAGUGUUUCAAAGUAUAUUUGAAAGAAUAAGAGCAACUGGCCCAUCUUGGAAAUGAUACUGACUUGUUUUUUGUAUUUAAAUUGUUUCUUACAUGGUUAAAAAUAAUAUUUUAGUGUUUAUGAAAUCAUCUCUAGUUUAUGUUCAUGAAGAAGCUUCAAUAUUUGCAGCUGGAAGGUUGUUCUGUUGCAUUCCCAAAUUUAACCUUCAUCUUCACUUCCCCAUAGCAUAGCUCUGGUUGCAUUGUGAAAUGAACAACUGAUAUAAUCUUUAUUACCUUUAUUUCUUUCUGCACAAAGAAUUUUGUUUCUGUGGUAGAAGAAAACAAUAUUUUGAAGUGUGUCUGCCAAGGUACAGCUAGAAAAAAAUAGAAGACAGAAAAGAAUUCUCAUUAUUUGCAUUAAGAAAAUAUCAAACAAUUCAAAUACAUGCAUGGCAAAAAAAAUUCUGAAAUUUUGACCAUGCUUCUGAAUGAUCACCAAUUACUGGUAAUGAAUCGCUGUGUUUAUAUGAGUGAACAGAGAAAAGCUUACACUCAGAUGUCCUGAAGUUAGUGUUCUGAAUGUAUUUUGACUGGUCGUUUUUUUACAUUUUAUGCCUCUUGCAAAUUAGCCCACAAGGUUAUGAAGAUAUAGGUAAGCCGAUGACUUUAUGAGUUUGAGAUGCUACACCUAUAGAUGUGUACACAAUUUUUUCACGUUGUAAAGUAGAUAUGAAAUGGAAUCAUAGAAUGGUUAGGGUUGGAAAGGACCUUAAAGAUCACCUAGUCCCAACCCACCUGCCAUAGGCAGGGACACCUUUCAUUAAACCACGUUGCUCAGGGCCCUAUCCAACCUGUCUUUGAACACUUCCAUGGGCAUCAACAGCUUCUAUGGACAACUUGUACCAGUACCUCACCACCCUCACAGCAAGUAAUUUCUUCCUAAUACCUAAUUAAACCUGCCCUCUUUCAGUUUGAAAUCAUUGUCCCUUGUCCUGUCACUAUCUGGCUGUAUAAAAAGUCCCUCUUCUCUUUAUAAGGUUAAGGUUUUUAUAAGGUUUUUACCCGUUAAGGUAUUGGAAGGCUGUAACAAGAUGUCUUCUCUGGACUGAACAACUCUCAGCCUUUCCUUGUAGGAGAGGUGCUCCACUCUCUGAUCAUCUGGCAAUUCAUCAGUAUGAACUGCCAAUGAGUUUUAGAGUAGACCAUGUUUGCACCAUCAGUUAUGUUGCUUCUUUGAGAUAUUGUGGAUUUGACAUAUUUAAUAUAUGUAAAAUAUUAUAUUUGAAGAGGUCUGUGCUGAUUUUCUGUGCACAUAUCUGAUACAAAAACCUUUUUGCAAACAAAAGCUGUUUUUUUCUUAUUGUUCAGAUAUCCACAAAUAAAAAACAAAAUGAGAGAGUGUGUUGAUUAUUAUUAUUUAUGUUUGCUCUAUGUACCUAGUUCAAACAGCCAAUUUACUGCUAGUGACAGCGUGCUCCUGACCAGUAAUUCCAUCCAUUUUCACCCUUAAGACUGAAUUGUAUUAAUGUAAUUAAACUUCUGGAGGAGUUGUUCAUUUUAGUAGCUGCUUCCUUUGAAAAUUCUUUUAAGAUUAGUAGGAUGUUAAGACCCAUAGAAGUGAAAUGCAUUUGAUGACAAGGGAACAGAGGCAUGGUACUGCAGUGCUUACAGCAAUGACAGCUGAUGAGGGAGUGGACAGAGCUCUUGGGGAGAUAUCUAUGCCAUAAUUGCUGCAUUCCAGGUGCAGCUGCACAAGAAAAUACAUCUCUGGAUCAUCCCUUUAGGAAAAAAAAAGUGGUGUUGAAGCAUGGUGUGAUGUUUUUAACUUGACUAUUGACCUUGGAGCUCCUAAGUGAGGGAGAAUAACAAAAGGUUGAAUUGUGAAGUACUGGCACACCUUUGGCUAUAGUGUGUAAAUGUAAUGGGUAUAAAUGUAAUAAUGUUGUAGACAUGAAAAAGGGGCAGAGUAGAUGGGUACAUCUGCUGACAAUCUUUCUUUUUGAUUUGGAGCCACCUGAAGGCAAUAAGUAGCUGGAUAAUAACUUGAUCCCCAUACAGCUUCCGGUUUUUCACAUUAAUAAUGUACAGCAGGGGAGGUGAAAACGGAGUGUACUUUUAAUUCUGGCUUCUGUUUGCCUUUUUGUGAGCCUGAGAACAUUUCCUCUCUUUUUGGUGAUGGGAAAUGUAACCAAAACAGGCAUCAAUGAGUGACAUUUCUCAUAGAUGGUUUUCAACACCGAGUUUUCAGUAUCACCUCAGAGAUGCUGCAACAUGCAUGAAGGGGCCAGGUCUUUACCAUGCUUUGCAGUUAACUCACUUCAGUACUCUACCUUGUUGGUUUCUAAGUAUAUAUUGUAAUGAAUCUAAAAUACAUUUCCCAGUUGUAAUUCCUCUGAGUCCAGUAUUGCAAGGAGCAGGUGAAUAUUGUCCAAUAAAAUACAUGUACUCCUGUGAGAGGUGUAUUUCGAAAUAAGGAGUUUUACUUUGGUCUAGAAUUUAUAUAUAGACUCUGUACUUAGAGUUUACACAUUUUUGCUUUUGUAGCUUCCCAUACUUUCGUUCUUGUCUGUGUUCUCAUAUUUCCUUUCUAAAUUAUAGAUAUGAGGGAGCAACCAUUUUCCUUGAAAAGGGCUUUACUUUUGGGGAUAAUAAAUGGCCAUUUUAAGAAAAUUCAGCAGUUCACAAGGGUGUUGUUGAACAUGGGCUUAUAUGAAAUAGGACUUUAGGAAAAACAAACCAAAAUCAACAACCCUCGGAACCUUGCAAUCUUGAGAUGGAUAGUACUAGGAAAGAAUGCCCAUCCUGCUUGUUCUUCUAGGAGGGGUUUGUGCCAGAUUUUAGCUCUUGCCCUGUCUUUAUCAAAAUAAGUUUCACAAUCCACAUUCACCUCCCAUGUGAAGGGCAUGGCGAGGAAAGGGAGAUGACUGACUGAAGAAAAGAAAAACAGUGAGAGAAUUUGUACUUUGGCUGUGUUUAGUAUUGAUGCUACACUAAAUCACUGUAAACACAGGUUAGGAGUGUAGACUAGGAUGUUAUAUCAAUAUUGGCAACUUUAUUAGAAUCUGUUGCCCUAUUGAAUUGCUUAAUUGCUGUAAUGAGAGAAUGUGAAGAUAUGCAACUCUAUAGGAAGAAUUUGUGAAGGAGACAGUCAAGUCACCUCUUUUUUUGACUUGUACCAAAAGGUAUCCUUCUAUUUGUUGGAGAUGAGAACUCAGACCUUCAUUUUUGAGGGGACACAGGCAUGGACAAGUGAACGCUGCAUUGCUGUGAGAAAUUGUGCUGAGGUUUUUUGACUUGGAAAAAUGUGAAAUACUGAGACAUACUUUGCUCUCCAUUUCCUCUUCCUUUUGCUUGCAUCUAGAAGAUAGAGUUUAGGUGGUUCUCUGUUAAAUUAUUGUCGGCAGAUUACCAUGUUUUCUAGUUGAACAGUGCAUGAUAGAUACUGUUGCAGAGUAAAAUUCUGGCUUCUUCUCAUGGAUUUUAGGGACAAUGUGCAGCAUGGGUGAACAGGUGCCAGAGAUCCCUUUGGAAGCAGCUGGGAACUCCAUCCUCUAGAUUUUGCUUUUCCCUCAGUGGGGUUUUAGGCCCUGCAGAAAUGCAUUGCCUGUCUCUGCAUAGCCAGUGUGCUCAUAACAUACAACAGCUUAGAAAUAUCUAUGAUGUUGUGAGUUGCAUGUAUGUUUAUAUGCUUGUCUAUCCAUAGUUAUUUUUAAAAGAGAAGGCUUGGUAUUUUGCUUUUGACAUCUUUCUAUUCCUCUAGAUGUUAUUUACAGAGUCAGUUUUGCUGAUAUUACUUCAUCUUUUGAGAAUGCUGGGUAAGGAUUACAUUUGAUGUAGCAAAUUCUUGCUGUUCUACAUAUUGCCCCAUUAAGUAUUCUUCACAGAACUGCAUGAUGGAGCUCAGUUUUGUUUCGCGGGAUAGGGAAAAUAAUAAAAUUCUAGUCUGAAAUAACAAUACUGUGAUGUUGUUCCAUGCUUGAGAGAGAUUUGGUACCUGUAUCAAACCAAGGCUCUGCUUUGACAGUGGACAGGAAGACUGUGUCUGAGCUAAGAAGUUAAACUUGCCUGGGAGUAUCCUCUGGCACUUAAGAUAUGGACAGCCCAUGAUGAAAUCAUACAGCUCUUACCCUCCAAAAGAAGGUGACCACAUCCAAUCUUAUGGGAUUUAUCUCUGGGCUGUGUUUUUCCCCUGUGGUGCUGGGGAGUCUGCCAAACCUGUGCCAAGAACUUGUCUAAUAACUGAACUGCAGAGACAAUUAAAGUCUACUGUCUGGGUUUGCUUCUUGGCACUGUUUAAUUUGCUGAUGAAGAGGCCAAAGAGGAGUGUUUGACUACUUAUCUCUGGUUGUGUUUAUUGAGGAUCAGCACUCCAACUGAUGCAUCUCAUGUGUUUGGAAACUCAUUUUUUCUUAUCGCUGCUGAAGACUUUGUUAUGGUUUUGCAUUAAAAUGACACACAUGCUACUUCCCACCUUUCUCUUGGAGGGAAAAAAAAUUAAAAAUUGAAAAAGCAGCUUUAUAUCACUGGCUGUUAUACAUCAUGAGGCUCUGGGAUGAUAGAACUGAAAGAACUUGCCUUUUCCAUGAGGUACUUUUUGCCCAUCCAGUAAGAUUUUAGGGGUUGAUAGUGAUUUCUUUUUCAAGAUAUAGGAAGUUCUUCUGUGUGCUUUGAGUGCAUGCCUGGUGUGUGUGUCUCUGCCUACUCACACGCAUGCACAGAGGAGGCCUGCAAUAUCUCUGUAUGUUUUCCAGGGGUUAGCAUUAAGUGACAGUGACAGGUCACGAGGGUGCUGGGGCUUGGGCCCAGCAGGAGGUGGUGCAGAUGCACCUUCAGCAUUAACACAAUCGUCAUCCGCUCAGGAGAAGGGUGCCUGGGCCUUUCCUUAGGAAACAUAUGCCAAAACUAUUAUCAGAGUCUAUGUCAUGGCCUGCAGCAAACUGGACAGGAUGUUAAUGAAGAGGGAAUUGUGGAAGGAAUCUGAAUGCAACCCAUAUUAUUGAAACAGAAUGCUGAAUAAACAGAUUAUUUCCAUUAUGGUGCCCUGUCAGCAAUCUCAGUAUUUUGAUCUUUAUCAGGUUUAUACUGAUAAAGGUUUAUUUUUCAUUACUUAGUUGAUACAGGUUUGGGGGUGUUUUAAAUUCAAUAAAUAAAUAAAUAAAUAAAUGCAAAUAUCUGGGAGGCUAUAAAAGGCUGUGGAGCCAGGACAGCUCAUUAUUUCUCCUUGACGAAGAAAUCUCUGGUGCAUCCUGUGAUGUCUGUGACAGUAAUGAGGCACUCCACUAUGUCAAACCCAGAGUCGUAAUUCUGUCUUAUCUGCUGCAAUAAUGAGACUUUUUGCACUACUGGACUCAGCAGAAGUUAUAGGUGAAAAGAAGAUGGUGUGUGUUUUGCAACUAUUUACAACAGGUGGAGGCCAAGGAAUUCAAAUUGAUUGUUUUUUCAUUCAGAGACCUUGCUUCAGAACAUAGCUUGGAAUUUAAAUUGUGUUGAUGAUUCAAACAGUGCCUAGCAUUAAUUUAAUUUCAUGUUUGGCAAUUUUCUGUAGUUGUCCUUGUUCAAUAUUUUAUUGCUUACUUUGCUUCUAUUUGUUCUUCCUUUAUCUUUUUCUUCCUGUCCCUCUCCCACUCCCUGAAGGUUUGCCUGCGUAACAAGAGUGAGAUAGCUAAAAUAAAUACCAUUGGUGAUAAUGCUAUCCAUUUAAAGCAGAUUUUUAGGUGUGUUUUAGAAAGCAAAAUACCAAAAUAAUAUCAAAACACAUAUUUUUUUUCCAAGAUGCCAGCUGUUAGGCGUCUGCAUUCUUAGGGAUUGAUCAAAAGUUCAACAUUACUGUUAGUUUGAUGUCCCUUGAAAUGUUAGGCUGUUUGUUCAUAAAAUAAAUUAAAUACAGCCAGUGUCAUAGCAAGUCCAUUUUAUCAUUAAUUUUUAGCUGCCUUGUCUUCCCUGGACAAUGGAUGUAUUUUCCCCCACACCUUGGCUAACAUGAGGUAAGCUGUAUUUGUAAUGUGAGUUAGCAGGCUGACGUGGCUCUUGGCCUCUUGGCAAAGUAUUCCCAUACUCCCUUGUCUUUGUGACAGUUUUACCAAAUGUCAGCUCAUGUGUGCUAAGAAUAGGUCUUGCUGCUCUCUGCCUCAACAGAAGUGACCUCAGCCCUGACCUGGAGCUUCCCUGUCUUGUCUAGAGAUUGUUCAUGUGCUGGAGCCAUUCCAGCCGCAGCUCCUUAGCCCCCUGAGGUGGAAAUCUGUGCCCUGGUCUGCUAGAAAUUAGAGCUUUGGUGAUGCAAACCUAUUGAACAGCCCUUGACUGGCAGUCACUGUCACUCAUUGUCAACCUGAGCUUGUUUUGAGAAACCAGCUACUGGUAAAAGGCUAUUGAAAACAUUUUUUUUUCUUUUAAAUUUUCCUUUGUAGGGAAGAUACCUGUUAAUAUCAGAUAUUUAAGAAAAGGAGAAAUUUGAUCUGAUCUAUUUGUUUUUGUGCCACACCAUUAUUCCAGGUGACCUAGUUUAAAAUUGUGAUGAGAUCUGAAGAGCAGAGUAUUGAAAAUGUUGUUUGUGAGAGCCUGUGCGCCAGAACAGUAUGGGGUAAAAUCAACUUAAUGAGAUGCUGGAUCAUCCAUAGAACGCAUCUCUCUCUAAAUACUCAGUGAAUAUAUUUUCCUAGAGGAACACAAUGAACCUCUCACAGGAAUGCACUUUUAUAGGGCUUGAAAGAAAUAAGUAGAUGCUUUAGUUCUUUUAAGGGUUAAGCAGAAGCAAUUUCUGCAGUACCCCACAGUUGCAGAUGUCAUGGUAGUUGUCAUUGUCAGCCUCCUCUAGAUUCACAUCUAAUGAUGGAGCAUUGGACAAAUUUCUGUGUAAAUUUCUCCAGAAAUAAAAUAACUUUUUAAAAGUUGUUUGAAAAAAAUUAUGGAGAUAUUGUUUUAUUAUUGUAAAUCAAGAUCCAAAACCUGAGAGUCCAAAAUACCACUGUAGCUUCCAUCUGAAAAUAAAGCCCUGUCAGGUGGUAUCACAUCCAGUCCCUUUCCAGCUUUAUCUGACCAAAGAGAAAAUUCAUUGAAAUGCUUGCUAACCUUUACUGAGCAAAAGGACUAACUUAAUAAACAUGAUUUUCCCCUGGGGAAUUUUACUGCCUGGCCUAGGUUUAGGUUUUCCUCUUGACAUUUUUCUACCCAUGUUCUGAUUCUUCCAAAGAACAUAUUAAAGAGACCAGUUGCCUUGAUGUUCCCCUGGAAGAAGCACAAUAUUUGUUGAUCAGGGCCUUAGCCAAACAAUUACACUACAUACAAGCCACUAAGAAGGGCAGACUUUUACUGUUCUCAGUUUGCAAGGGGAAUGUCAUAAACUGUAUGAGUUUUCAUUAUCUCAUUCUUUAUAGGGAAAAGGUGAAGUAUGGGCAAUGGGAGGAAACAGAACAUUUUUUGUUUUUCCUUAAUGUAUCCUGCUAGUAAAUUUGUACUGACUGCAGGUUGUGUUAUAAAAGGAAUGAAUAAAAGAUGAUUAAGGGUUAUUUACAGAUGGGAAGUUGCCUUGCUUGUUGUUUCCCCAUUCUGAUUCUGGUUGAUGACAUCCUCGAGUUAAUUAGUUAAUUUCCAUGAGUAAAACUCAUAAUAAUCAGUUACUGUUUUUCAAACUAUUAAAAAAUUUAAAAUAUUUCCCAGUUUUCUGCCCUUGCUUAGAGUAGAUUCCACAUCUAUCAAAUGGAAUACAUGCAUGACUCUAUUGAUUUUUUUUCUCUCAGUCUUCAUCCAUUAACCGCCAUAAAUUCCAUAUUGAAAUAAUAAAUGUGUCUUCCCACUAGGAGAAUGGCAUUGCUUUCAUUUUCACUUCCAGACCUGAGGAAUUAUUUGUGCUUGUUUGUUUGCUGUGUUAGCAUUUCUUUGCAACUCGUGUGUCACAAAAAACCUCCCUUGACAGAAGACCUCCACUUUUUAAUUGUCCCACUCCUGCCUGAGUCACUGUGAGUGCCUCAGUCCAAGGGUAUACACUAGAAAUAGAGCUGAUAGCCUAUUUAAUGGACUUGCAGGCUGAAGUAAAUAACACAACUCCAUCAAUAGGAGGUGAAAAUUCAGAAACAAUUUUAUAGAUGGAUUGGUCUGACCAUUGCUAACAUUUUUCCUGUUUUAAGGCCUGGAUUUUGAGACACAUACUGAUACAUAUACAAAUGCAUGGAUAUGUGUCUUUAAUAAAACAGAAAUGUUUUUGGCUGGUUGGAGACCUAAUUCUCUACAGAAAACAAUGGUGAUGAACAUGAAGCCAUCACUUGUCAAAUCAUUUUAUUUCAGUUUUAUAUUAUAUCCUAACAUAUCUCUGCUUUGCCCUCUGAUGUGUACACGCCAUUAUGUUGCAUAUUAUUUCUUAACAGUCAUACAAACAGUAGCCAGAAAAUUUAUAGAGCAUGGGUUAUUGUUAUCCAAAUAACCUAAUUGUUGUGAUUUUAGUAAAGAAAAGUGAAAUGUGGUUAAUAUGGGAGGUUUUGGUAUUUUUAAAUUAUUUUUGGCUUUCAAAGAGCAUAGUUCAGUUUUCUGGGCCAAAGGACUUACUUUAUUCUUAAUGCUUCAUAUUUCAUUUUUUAAAGUGUUAUCUAAUUUGGAAAGGGUUCUUUUGGUUUUCUUGAUUUAAUAUGCUUAACUUCAUAUACUAAAUUUUUUCUCCUAUUGUUCUUUUUUGGUAGGGUUACUUUAUAGGAAACUGAGAGCAUUUUAUCUUAAAUUAACACGACAUGGGGUGAUGCCUUAUUGCUUCAACUUUGAUGUAAGAAAGACUGGAGAUUCUAGCUAAUCAUUUGCGUAAAUGGUAUUUAACUUUCUCCUCCAUAUCUUUUUCUAGUCAAUCACUUGGAGGUGGGCACGGAAUAAAACCUCAGCUAUCAAGUUCUGACAAAAGUAUUUUAGAAUUCUGGUUUGCAUCCCCUGGUAUACAUCUUCUUCCAUUGAUUAAGAUUCAUUUCCUGUCAUGCUACGUUUUGAUCAGUUUAAGGUGCAUCAAAGUGUAGAUAUACAAUAAUAAAAGACUUUUAACAUAUGCUUUAGCUAAGGCAUGUUAACAGCUCACUUUUAAAUCUUUGUCUGGAUAAAGCCAAUGGCACCAUUCCACAUUGACUUGUGUAUAAAUAAGGGAAGACCUUUAACUCCAUCCUUGGAUGCUUGGCCAGGCAUCUGUCAUAUUUUGUGAUUCAUAGUCUAAUGAAUAAUUUUGUGCCCUAUGUGUUAACCAGAAGAACUGAAUCUUUUCCUUUAGAGCCAUAUGAGUAAGUGGAAAGUCACAAAACUGAGACUUUUGCAGGUGAAUUACUGCCGGUAAUAAACGAAGGUUUAAAUCAAAAUAUGAAUUUGCUUGCUUGCCAAAGAUACAGUUACAGUUUUUUUUCUGGUAAAUUGUUCUGUGCAUAUUAUGUCUCAGUUCUUGUACUGUUCACAAUGCACACUCUGUUUUCAUGAAUUAUACAUACCCAGUGUGCACAUGAUUUUUACUGUGGAACCCACAGUAAAGAUUUUGUGUUUCCAAAAUUGACACGGCAAUGGUGUAUUCUUCAAUAUUUUGUGGCAAUUUUAUCAGUACAAAAAAUCCUACUGCAGCCUCGAAUUCAUUUUUUGGAAAGGGCAUUUCUGUCCCACUCCCUGUUGAUGGGCAUGGUGUUUAAGGGCCUCUGUAAUUACCUGAAGAUACAAAACACACUAGAAGAGAAAAUUAAGCAGGAGAUAGCAGUGGCUCUAACCAAAGGCUGAUUAUGCUUCUGAGACAUAGGUCUUGGCAGUAAAGUAGCUUAAGCCUUGAGGAAAAUUUCAUACCUGUUGAUGAUUUAUAAUAUUUGAUACAUUGAAAAGAAGGAGUUCUGCAUGAUACAGUGUAAUUCAUGCCAAUAACCCUUUACAAAUCAAAAUAUAAUGUAUGUCAAGAUCUGAGAAUUAGGAUAUUUUGAUCAAACCCAAUGCAUAUGCCUUGUUAUAUAAUAGCAGUCAUAAUGAACAAAAUAAGCGCAAGAAUAGCUAAAGAAAAAUAAUGGGUUUUUUUCCUGCAAAGAGCAAUAUUUGAAUACAGUUGCUGCUCAUAGAGCAUUAUUGACAUGACUUUUAUUAACAGUGAUAAUCACUUCCUGCUCUGGUCCUAAAAGACUAUGCUUUUAAAAGCCAUCUCCCCUUCCAGGUUCCUGAAGUAGGAAGGGAUUCAUACAUGGGACGUGACACUAGAAAUAUUCUCACUUAUAGGCUUGAAGAAGAUCUCUAUUACACUCAGAUAACCUGUUCACUGGGUAAGAGGUUUUGAUCGGUUAAAUUGCUUUUGUCUUUUCCAUCAUGCUGUGAGUUAGUUAAUAUUAUGAGAGAAAAGAGAUGAGAUGCAAUAGUGACAAGCAGCAAGUUAAAGAUUUACUUGGUCUGGUAUAAUUGGAGAAUAUUACAGAAAUUGUGAAAGGGAAGCAUAUAGAGAUUUUCCAUUAAAAACAUACUUUAAGUCUUUUAGGAGCAAACCCAAAGGAUAUGUGAGUCAAUGAUAAACAGUAUGGUUUCCCACAUGUCCAAGAUACUGUCCUGUCCCUUGAGGAGAUCCAGUUAUUUGACCUGAGCCUAAGUACCUAAUAACAAUACAUUUUUAAGUCUCUCAUCAUUGCUCUGAGAAAACACAGGAUAUACGUGUCACAGCAAGAGAAAAUAAGGCAGAAAACUUCUAUAAUAUUUUUUAAGCCUUCAGAUAAAUUUUGAAUCAAAUACUCCAUUCUGUCACAUUCUGUUCUCUAUUACCAGUCUCAGCUUAUUUCUUCUUUUAUCUUGAUAUUAUUUAGUCUUUUGUUAUUGAGACUUAUCCUAAAACCUUUGAACAGUGCAACCCAUGGAAACCCAACAAUUCUGAAAUUAAGGCUGGACCAACAUAUCUUACUGUGAAAAGAAAGAAAAAGGUAAAUCAGCAUUCUGAUAAAGUUGGAGGUGAGUAGAGGUGGUUGGAGGACCCCUUGCCUUCCUCAGUUUUCUAGCUUUCCAGCCUAUGAUGCAUGUUACAACUUAUAGCUGGAGCUGCUUGUGAGCAGGACUCACAUAACAUAAACACAAAGGGCAAGAAGGAGGACCUAGGAACUACUGACCAGUCAGCCUUAACCUAAAUCCCUAGAAAGGUGAUGAAGUGCUUCACUCUG